GAAACCAACAGGGAUUGCCCUAGUAACGGCGAGUGAAGCGGCAACAGCUCAAAUUUGAAAUCUGGCCCUCGUGGUCCGAGUUGUAAUUUGUAGAGGAUGCUUUUGGUGCGGUGCCUUCCGAGUUCCCUGGAACGGGACGCCAUAGAGGGUGAGAGCCCCGUCUGGUUGGACACCAAUCCUCUGUAAAGCUCCUUCGACGAGUCGAGUAGUUUGGGAAUGCUGCUCUAAAUGGGAGGUAAAUGUCUUCUAAAGCUAAAUACCGGCCAGAGACCGAUAGCGCACAAGUAGAGUGAUCGAAAGAUGAAAAGCACUUUGAAAAGAGGGUUAAAUAGUACGUGAAAUUGUUGAAAGGGAAGCGUUUGUGACCAGACUUGGGCUUGGUUAAUCAUCCAGCGUUCUCGCUGGUGCACUUUGCCAGCCCAGGCCAGCAUCAGUUCGCUGCGGGGGAUAAAAGCUUCGGGAACGUGGCUCUUCGGAGUGUUAUAGCCCGCUGCAUAAUACCCUGUGGCGGACUGAGGUUCGCGCAUCUGCAAGGAUGCUGGCGUAAUGGUCAUCAACGACCCGUCUUGAAACACGGACCAAGGAGUCGUCUUCGUAUGCGAGUGUUCGGGUGUCAAACCCCUACGCGUAAUGAAAGUGAACGGAGGUGGGAGCCUCGGCGCACCAUCGACCGAUCCUGAAGUUUACGGAUGGAUUUGAGUAAGAGCAUACGGGGCCGGACCCGAAAGAAGGUGAACUAUGCCUGUAUAGGGUGAAGCCAGAGGAAACUCUGGUGGAGGCUCGCAGCGGUUCUGACGUGCAAAUCGAUCGUCAAAUAUGGGCAUGGGGGCGAAAGACUAAUCGAA
rnacentral:rRNA from 1 species